UGGUCACGUACGCGCCAGUCAUCUCUGCC
rnacentral:sRNA from 1 species